CGCGUAGGCGGUUUUACAAGUCCGGUGUAUAAGGCAACAGCUUAACUGUUGUUUUGCGCUGGAAACUGUGAGACUUGAGUUUAGGAGGAGGAGCUGGAAUUCCAGGUGUAGGGGUGAAAUCUGUAGAUAUCUGGAAGAACACCGGUGGCGAAGGCGAGCUCCUAGCCAUAGACUGACGCUGAGGCGCGAAAGCGUGGGGAGCGAACA
rnacentral:rRNA from 1 species